rnacentral:lncRNA from 1 species
AAUGUUCCCAAUCCCGUUUUUUACCUUUUUCCUCCCAUUUUCCCCAAUGUCCCCAAUCCUGUUUUCCCAUUUUUCCUCCCAUUUUUCCCCAAUGUUCCCAAUCCUGUCCCCUCGCUGUCCCUCUGUCCCUUCCCUGUCCGUCUGUCCAUCUGUCCCUCUGUCCCCUCUCUGUCCCCUUGCUGUCCCUCUGUCCGUCUGUCCGGCCGUGUCCACCCCGGCUGUCCCUCUGUCCGUCUGUCCUUCUGUCCCCUGGCUGUCCCCCUUGGCUGUCCCUCUGUCCCUUCCCUGUCCGUCUGUCCCUCUGUCCCUCUGUCUGUCUGUCCAUCUGUCCCUCUGUCCGGCCGUGUCCCCCGGCUGUCCAUCUGUCCCCUCUCUGUCCCCUCGCUGUCCCUCUGUCCUUCUGUCCGUCUGUCCCCUCUCUGUCCCUCCUUGUCCGUCUGUCCCUCUGUCCCCCCUGGCUGUCCGUCUGUCCCUCUGUCUGUCUGUCCCCUGGCUGUCCCUCUGUCCCCUCCUUGUCCGUCUGUCCCUCUGUCCCCCCUGGCUGUCCCUCUGUCCCUUCCCUGUCCCUCUGUCCCUCUGUCCCCUGGCUGUCCCUCUGUCCGUCUGUCCGUCCGCCCGCCCGCCCGCGCCCGCAGCUGGCCGCGCUGCUCCCGGCCCCGCAGCAGCUCCUGGCCCAGGCGCAGCUCUUGGCGGCCGCGGCCGCGCAGCUCCCGCAGGGCCCCCCCGGGACCCCCGCGGGGACCCCCGGAGGGACCCCCGGAGGGACCCCCGGAGGGACCCCCGGAGGGACCCCCGCCGCCCCCCCCGCGCCCCCCCCGCUGCCGCUGCCCGGCCCCAUCCAGCUCUCGGCACAGGUAAAGGGGAGGGGGGGGAUGGACCCGGAGUGACCCCGGAAUCACCCCGAAAUCACCCCAAAAUCAACCCAGAGGAACCCCGGAAUGAACCCCGAAAUCACCCCGAAAUCACCCCAAAAUCAACCCAGAGGAACCCCAAAAUCACCCCAAAAUCACCCUGAAAUCACCACAGAGGAACCCCAAAAUCACCCCAAAAUCAACCCAGAGGGACCCCGGAGUGACCCCGGAAUCACCCCAAAAUCACCCCAAAAUCACCCCGAAAUCACCCCAAAAUCAACCCAGAGGNNNNNNNNNNCCGAAAUCACCCCAAAAUCAACCCAGAGGGACCCCGGAGUGACCCCAAAAUCACCACAGAAAUCACCCCGGGAUGGCCCCGAAAUCACCCCGAAAUCACCCCAAAAUCACCCCAGAGGGACCCCGGAGUGACCCCAGAGUGACCCCAAAAUCACCCCAAAAUCACCCCAGAGGGACCCCCGGAAUGACCCCGAAAUCACCCCGGAAUCACCCAGGAAUCACUCCACAAUCACCCUGAAAUGAUCCCGAAAUCACCCCGGGAUGGCCCCGGAGUGACCCCGAAAUCACCCCGAAAUCACCCCA